AGUCUAUCUGGCAUUAACGUGCACUCUGUCACCAUAAGACUUAACGGUGGCAGAUGGCAGUUGCGUUAGCAAACAUUCAGUUCUCUCUCUUUGAUUCUUCCCUUAGGAUUGAGGAAGGCCUGGCCGUGGCUCACAGCUGAGUCACACCUCUCCAGUAAAGCCUGAGGAGAGCAUGUCAAACCACCGGAAGACCUCAGUCAUGUGGGUUUUCCGGUUCACCCGUGGCAACAGUAAUUAUUUUCCACACAAAAGGCAAAGAUUCUUGUGUGGAUCCCAGAAG
ensembl:lincRNA